AUUCUAGCUUUACCAUCGGAGUUGUUAUCCCCGGACCACCCCGAGGCUAGCUAACUUCUGCUCAUUGUGUAGGUUUUCAGCUUGUCGAUAGGAGUAUCAGGAUCUCGGGUUUGGACUCUGCGGCAAUCGGAUCUUUGCAGAAACACUUUGAAACGAACUAGGGCUUGGAAAUUGAAUCGAGAACCUGUUAAUGAGCGAAGUCCGACUGAUCCUGAUGUUGAUGAUUCUUUCGACAAUUUUAAGAAGGUUCGCCCUAAAGCUAAGCGAUUUUAAGAAGUGAAGCAAUCCACAUAAAGAACUUGAUACUCAAUGAUCUCUAUUAUCAUCUACAAGGAUAGUUGGAGGGACAAGACAUUGAGCAUGGUGCAUUCAAGGAGCUUUCCCAGUUCUUAUCUAGCUCAAAUCUUCUGCAAACAUACCAGAAGAAGUGUGUUAAUGACUACUCGACAGGAGCCAACAAUGCUUACCUAUUUGAUCUUUGGCGCCUCCAACAUGCCAUUGGCCUUCAUAUUUGGGAUUACUCAUAAUGGAAAGCGUCAAAAAAGAUAGCAGAGAAUACAUUAUUUUAUGUGUAGCGUGCCAACUCCAUCCUGUUAAUCCUUGGUUCAAGACUACCAGCGUUGCGAGCUCUUGUAACAAUUUUCACUCUCGAUAUGUGGGAUGUAAGUUUGUAGCUUUCCUUAUUUUUCUUAUGUUAUCAUUGUCUGAGUUUUGGGUAAGUUCUGCAUAGUCAUAAAAGACUUGAUUACUAUGAUUAGUUCUGUAGUGUGGUUCUUAAGGAUAGCCAUCUAGAAUGUGCAUUUGCCCACUUCUCUAUGAGUACUCAGUAGGGUGGAGCUACCGGAGCAUUUAUCUUCUAUGAUUUCAAUUGAUCAAUUUGGUUGAAUUCUGCGAUUACAUGUUUACUUCUACAUUGUCUAUUUUACAAACAUGCAUUGAACAAUCCUCAAUCCUUUUUCUAAAGGUUGUCUUUCCUAUUUCCAAUUGGUCUUUUUAAUUGCUUACUGUAUAUUAUGUUGUUUAUCAUAUAUUCACCUACUUGUUUGGUCAUACUAAAAACUUGCAAUUUUGGUGUGAAAAACUUGCUUGAGUCUAGACUAUUUGGUAACAAGGUUAAAAAAAUAAUUAGGUCCUUAUUUUGAUUAGGGAGGUUGCUAGGGAGCUUACAAUGUGAUACUUGGUAUAAUACUUAAAUUUACUUGAAUAUGUUAAGCUGAUAAUCAUCUUCAAUAGAUUGUCAUUGUUUUGGUUAUGCAAUUGGCGAAAGUUUAGUUAUCAAUAGCAUCCUUCCCCCCAAGAAAAAAUGUAUUUUCUUCAAUAUGGUUUACAUACAAUUUGGGCUUUAAUCUAUAUUCAACAUAUUGCAAGAAACUAUGAUGUUCUGCUACCGAUAAUUGGCUGUUAGUUAUCUUUUUUUGUGCUUAUGUUUGUUAUGGUGUGACACUGUCUUGGUUAAAGCUGAUCAUUUAUAAAUGGCGAUAUCUACAAUGAGUUACUUCUGGAGUUUCUGUGGCAUUAUUACCCCCAGGUUUGUGAACUUUUUUCUUUUCAAUGCUCAAGUUAAAUUGACUUAUCUCAUUGGGUCGUGAGGUCUUCAUCUGUUUGGUUGUUGGAUAAGAUUGUAUAUUUUGGGGAAGUUUUGGUGAAAGUAGCUAGCUGAAUAAUGUUGUUAGUUUGAGAUUAUUUUGAGCUCCCUAUGAAUUUUGGCUCACAUUACAAGGUAAAUGUGAUUUUAGUUACGUUUUGUUGUACUAGUAAUCUACACCUUUAUCCACAUUUUAUAAAAAUUGUAUAGUAACCUAUUUUUUUUCCUAAAAUCCCUUAUGGCCUUAUGUGGUCUUUGUUGAUAACAAAAUGAUAGACCUCCUAGCUUAUCACUGGUGAUGUUAUGCUGCUUCUUAAUAUUAUUUAUUUUUAUUAACCUCUAAUACAUUUUCUUCCUCAUUGUCAUUUAUUUCCCAUGUCCAACCUCUAUGGAAGUUUAAACUUUAAAGUUCCUUUUAAGGUGAAACCCUUCACCUGAUUUUUUGUUUGAUUGUUUGUUUGUUUUUUUUUUUUUAAAAAAAAAUUUGUUUUGUUUUCUUUGGAGUGAUGUACAUAACCCUACCAAGUUUAUUUCAUGAAGACUGUCCUAGAUAGACAAUUAACUUAUUUUAACCUUCACUUUAAAAGUAAACUAAAAUUGUUCACUCCUUGGAUGUUGUAGGUUGCUCUCCUUAACUAUGAUGGAGGUUGUUAGGAGUAUGUCAGGAUCAUAUGUUUUCCUACUACUAUUGUGGAUCUCCUACUAAGUAAGAAUGUAGCUUCUUCUGUGGGAGAAGUAACUGCUUUCCCAGUUAUUGUUUGGGUGUCUCUACUAGGAGUGUAAAACUUUAGUUUUCAAGACAACUAUUGUGCUCUUUGGUGAUCAGGAGAUCCAUUUGGUGGCAAUGCGUACUAGAAGAACGGAUGGUGUAUCAGCUGCUUGUAUAUUAGUUUUUUUAUAUCAGCUACUUGUUUAUGGAAAUUCUAAAGUUUUUCUUUUUAAACAAGCUCUCUUAAGUUUUAGUUAUUAGUUUAUUGUAUAUUAACUUGUAUACUAUAUUUUUAAUUAGAUUACACACUAUUUGUUUUUUGUAACGGGCAUUUUGAAAUGUCCGUUACAAAUAACCCCGUUAUUCAAAACGGGAACUUGUUUUGCCCGUUACGAAUUUCUACUUAUUUGUAACGGGCAAAUGCCCGUUACAAAUAACAUUUGCUAUCCGUAACGGCCGCAUAUGUAACGGUUGUUGCCCGUUACGGAUGGGUUGUUUUUACCCGUUACGGAUAGGCUUUUUUUCACUAAUGCCCCUAGCUAGCCAUGCUAGGCUCGACUUUGUGUGCAUGCUAGCUACCUUUGUUUUGGGUGUGUUUGUCCCUCAGGAGAGUCACAGCUCCAAGAUUUUUCCGACGCGCUCUGUUCCUGCAAAAUAUGAAGACUCCGGUUGGUAAAAGCUCUGUCUCUGACGAUCAAGUUAGUAUUUGUCGAAGAAUAAAAAAAGGUGCGAAAAAAGAUGAAUGUGAAAUCUUCUCGGAUUAUGAGAUCGGAUGCUUUUUCUUAUGUGAGAGAAUGUAGGGAUAUUGUAAUAAAUGUACCUGCAACAAAAAUAGGGGAAAUCUU